AUGCCCCUUAUGACCUGGGCUACACACGUGCUACAAUAGGUUGGUACAACGAGUUGCGAGUCGGUGACGGCGAGCUAAUCUCUUAAAGCCAAUCUCAGUUCGGAUUGUAGGCUGCAACUCGCCUACAUGAAGUCGGAAUCGCUAGUAAUCGCGGAUCAGCAUGCCGCGGUGAAUACGGUUCCCGGGCCUU
rnacentral:rRNA from 1 species